AUGAAUAAAAGGGAUGUAUCUAGACGUAUAUUAUUUCUAGAUACAUCCUUUUUUAUCCAUUUUGAUGAUAAAUAUUUUCGGACGAAGGGAGUAGUUCACAGCGGAGUUAAAGUGCCCAAAUCUCCCCCGGCCAUACACAAGUUCAAAAGCCAGCAAAACGGAGAACUACAAGCAGAAGCUGACAGCAAGGAAAAACAAGCCAUAACAGAGGGACAAAUUCAGAAGCUACUACAAACUACAUCUAGUCUCCAGCAGCUCCCAGCCUUCUCAUCCCAGGCAUCCACCCUUGCGACGUCUUGUAGACUUCACUUGCCACCCGCUUUAUUAUUUUUGCUCCCAGCAUCAACAUUUUUUCCUCUGGGUUUUUUCUCUAGCAUCGCCGAGGAUGCUAGACAUGGAGAACAACAAGGAGUUGGAGGAUAG
rnacentral:rRNA from 1 species